rnacentral:rRNA from 1 species
GACGAACGCUGGCGGCGUGCUUAACACAUGCAAGUCGAACGGAAAGGCCUUGCUUUUGUGGGGUGCUCGAGUGGCGAACGGGUGAGUAACACGUGAGUAACCUGCCCUUGACUUUGGGAUAACUUCAGGAAACUGGGGCUAAUACCGGAUAGGAGCUCCUGCUGCAUGGUGGGGGUUGGAAAGUUUCGGCGGUUGGGGAUGGACUCGCGGCUUAUCAGCUUGUUGGUGGGGUAGUGGCUUACCAAGGCUUUGACGGGUAGCCGGCCUGAGAGGGUGACCGGCCACAUUGGGACUGAGAUACGGCCCAGACUCCUACGGGAGGCAGCAGUGGGGAAUAUUGCACAAUGGGCGGAAGCCUGAUGCAGCAACGCCGCGUGCGGGAUGACGGCCUUCGGGUUGUAAACCGCUUUCGCCUGUGACGAAGCGUGAGUGACGGUAAUGGGUAAAGAAGCACCGGCUAACUACGUGC